UAGGGAAUAUUGCACAAUGGGCGAAAGCCUGAUGCAGCAACGCCGCGUGUGCGAAGAAGGCCUUCGGGUCGUAAAGCACUUUUCUGAGAGAUGAGCAAGGACAGUAUCUCAGGAAUAAGUCUCGGCUAACUACGUGCCAGCAGCCGCGGUAAAACGUAGGAGGCAAGCGUUAUCCGGAUUCACUGGGCGUAAAGCGCGUGCAGGCGGUUCGGUAAGUUGGGCGUGAAAUCUCCUGGCUUAACUGGGAGAGGUCGUCCAAUACUACCGGGCUUGAGAGCGGUAGAGGAAGAUGGAAUUCCCGGUGUAGUGGUGAAAUGCGUAGAUAUCGGGAGGAACACCAGUGGCGAAAGCGAUCUUCUGGCCCGUUUCUGACGCUCAGACGCGAAAGCUAGGGUAGUAAACGGGAUUAGAGACCCCGGUAAUCCUAGCUGUAAACGAUGCAAACUUGGCGUCGGUGGCUUAGACUCCAUCGGUGCCGAAGCCAACGCGAUAAGUUUCG
rnacentral:rRNA from 1 species